GACGAAGGAUGCAAGCGUUUUUAUCCGGAUUUCAUUUGGGUUUUUAAAGGGAGCGUAGGCGGCCUUAUAAGUCAGUGGUGAAAUCUCUCGGCUUAACCGAGAAAUUGCCAUUUGAUAUGUAGGGCUUGAGUACAGUUUACCGUUGGCGGAAUAUGACAUGUAGUGGUGAAAUACAUAGAGAUGUCAUAGAACACCAUUUGCGAAGGCAGCUAACGAAGCUGUAACUGACGUGAGGCUCGAAA
rnacentral:rRNA from 1 species